CAAAAGUGACGUGUUUGGUUCUGAACCGGUAUAGGGAUUUGAUUAAUUGCAUGUACAACUAUGUGGACAAUUUUUUUAAAAAAAUGCAUGUGAAUAUGCAUGCAUAGAUGCGAAAAAUAAUAAUAACAAACAAAGUGGAUUUCUCAGUAAUUAUUGAGAAAAAGAACUACAAAGAUAAGUUGGAAAUAAGAGAAUAAAAAAAGGGAAUAAUAACAAUAAUAAUUAAUUGUAAAAACUUGGGAUAAUGUUAAUAUCAGAGACGAGUGCAACAAGCACAAUGAAAUAUCAACAAAGAUCCGAUAAUUGUAUUUAAUAUAGGCAUGACUUAGCACCAUAAGAUCAGUGAACUCUCAAAUUGUUUUUUUAUUCAAGAAGUUAUCAAUUACAGUGACUCUGUAUGCCAAAAAAUUAAAUGAAUUCAAAUUAAUAUUUAUGAGAAUAAAUUUGUAUUCAUUGAAAAGGGAGAAAAUAAAAUUUGAAAAUGGAGUUGACUUUUUUUUAAAAAUAACGAAGUUACAUUUUAAUGGGUAAUAAGUAUUAAUAUAUACAUUAAAGAAAUGAAAAAUUAUAAUUUUUACUAUUAUUCACCAGAAAGUCCAAAUUUAUUAGUCCAUUCAGUGAAUUUGUCAAUAUCAAGAUUUGUAAUUGAAGAUUUGGUUUUUGAUAAUACAUGAAUAAGGUCAGAUUUAGUUAAUUUUGGAGGUAAAAGCUGGUUGUUCGGAAUAUCAUAAAGUGAAGUUUUUCUAUAUAGUUCUUUAUCAUAAUGAUCAAUAUUUGAAGGUUGGGAACAAGGAGUCCAAUAAAUCUUAAAAUUUUCAGCAUUAUUAUUAGUGAUUUCAUCAUUAUUAUUCAUUAUAACAACUUUUUUAAACCAAUUGGAUUCACUACAUUUACGUAUUGGUUCAAAUAAAGCAUCUUUAAUUAAUAUAGAGACAUCGCUGGAACUAUAACCAUGAGUCAUCUUUGCUAUAUAAUUAAUAUCAUCAUCAAUUAAAGAAUGAUUAAUGGAUUUUAAACCAUUCUUAAUCAACAAUACACGGGAUUCUUCAUCUGGAAGUGGGAUAUAAAUUCUUCUUUCAAAUCUCCUACGAAUUCCUGAAUCAAUUUCCCAGGGUAUAUUUGUAGUACCAAGUACUAGAAUGGGCUUAAAAUUGUUGUUAUUAGAAUUUGAAUUUACGCCAUCCAUUUGAACAAGAAAUUCUGUUUUAAUACGUCUGGUUGCUUCAUUUUCUUGUUCAUUACGGCUACUACAUAAACUAUCAAUUUCAUCAAUAAAAAUGAUAGAAGGAGCUCUUUCUCUAGCAACAUCAAAUAAAGCUUUAAUUAGCUUUUCUGAUUCACCUUGCCAUUUACUAGUAAGAUCAGCACUAGAAAUGGAAAGAAAUGUACCCUUCAUUUCAGUUGCACAAGCUUUAGCAAGAAAAGUUUUUCCAGUACCUGGUGGUCCAUAUAAAAGAAUGCCUUUCCAAGGCUUUAAUUUUCCUUGAAAUAAUUCAGGAAAUUUGGCUGGUAGAAUUACUGCCUCUUUAAGAGAAGUUUUUGCUUGUUCAAGUCCUAUAAUAUCAUCCCAAGAGAUAUUUGGGCUUUCCAUUAAAAUACAACUACGGAUUGCAUCUUUAAGAGGAUCAUUAAUAUUUGAUGGAUUUUGGGAACUUUUAGAAAUAUUUUCUGAAGAUGAAGAUGAUGAUAAACCUGGUGUUGAAGUUGAAGCUAAAUUUGGAUUAGAAAUGGUUUUUGAUCCUUUUCCAUUGUUAUUAAUCAAAUUCUUUAUUUGUUCAGCUCUGGAAACUAAUUGUUCCAUUCUAGUAAGAAGAACUUUUUUAACUCUUUCAUCAUUUUGAUAUUUACAAAUAUGGUCCCAUUUUUGAAGAGCUGAAAUAUAUAUAUUCAAUGCUUCUUCCAGAUUCCC
rnacentral:antisense_RNA from 1 species